CUGCUUCUGCAGCACAAACAGUGAAAUUGGAACAAAACAAAGAAGACCGGCAUGGCUCCUGCACAAGGCGACAUUUGUGGGGUACUCCGUGUUUUU
ensembl:snRNA U6 U6 spliceosomal RNA